UUAGUGUUAAUGAUAGCCAUACAUGUGUAUACUUUUGCUAGGAGUGUGUUGGAAAUUUGGUAAUUGAGUGUUGUGCAGUGAAUUGUGCCUACAGUUUUGCAAAGUGUGUGUUACAAAAUUGCAAACUGAGUGCAAAGCAGUUUUUGUGCUUUUAGUUUUGCAAACUCAGUGAGUGGUUUUGCUAUAAGUCUGAAUAGUUUUAGAGAUUGUGCUACAGGAAUCACAGUUAGGGUUUAAGCAUUCAGAAAAAACUGUAAUUCUGGUAAAUAAAAGUCAGAUCACAAACCUCAUGACCUAGAAACAGGCCUGGUGUUAAGUGUUGCAUUAAUAUAGAAAUGGCUGCAUGCAAAAGAGCGUUCACACCUUUUUUUUUUUUUAUUAAACACAACUGUGAAUCUGAGUGUUGGACUAAGUGUGAUGCUUCGUGCUGUGCAACAACCAUACAUCUGCUCCACCCAGAAACACUCCGGAGAGGCCUGUCAGGUUCGAUGAUUGUUACUCAGCCGCUGGCCUCCAAAACUUACGAAAGGGCUUCCCCUAAGCUCCAUCAAGCACUGUAGCCUGUUAUAACCGUGCUUUUUUUUUUUUUAAUGAGCAGGAGAGCACAACUUACUGCAAAUGGUUUGUUAUUUUUAGAUGUAGAUUAACUUAAAACCCGAGAAAUGUAAAGGAAGCAUCAGGUUUGUACAGAUUUAGUAAAUUGCUGCGAUGAUGACUUUAAAAUGAACUCUUAAUCUGUUGAUAGCCCUGAGUCAUCCACCUUGAACUCGUCUAACCUGUGUCACUGAAUCCUUGAUAGCGCUCACUAGUGUUUCUCUACCUCUUCUUUUUUUUCUUCACUUUCUGAUUCAGUGUGUGAAAGUGGAAGCAUUAGUUAGUUAAUGCUGCAUGUGUCCUACAUAACAGGGACGAUGCAGGAUGACAGAGAAUUGUGGUGAGAGUUGAAAUCUAAACGUGAAGGUUUAUGUGUAGGUCAGAGCCGAUCUGCGCCACAGCUGCUGCACAGUGUCAAUGUUUCACCCUACGCAGAAACGCUCUUGUUUUUGUUUUUUACUGGAACAAAGAAAAGAUAGAAGAGUGAAAAAAAGAACAAAUCCCCUCUUUGUUUUCUGGCAGUGGCCUGGUUCACAUGGCUCUUUGCUUUUUGCAGGUGCGCCUGCCAUUACACAUUUCAGUCCAGUAAUUGUAACUGUGCCAUUGUCUGUGCUCACUGUGGCACCCGUUUGUGACUCAUUGGCAAUCGGUGAAGCCUGUCUGGUACUAAAAAAGUGUGUGCAGUUUU
ensembl:lncRNA